AUUGAACGCUGGCGGCAGGCCUAACACAUGCAAGUCGAACGGUAACAGGAAGAAGCUUGCUUCUUUGCUGACGAGUGGCGGACGGGUGAGUAAUGUCUGGGAAACUGCCUGAUGGAGGGGGAUAACUACUGGAAACGGUAGCUAAUACCGCAUAACGUCGCAAGACCAAAGAGGGGGACCUUCGGGCCUCUUGCCAUCGGAUGUGCCCAGAUGGGAUUAGCUAGUAGGUGGGGUAACGGCUCACCUAGGCGACGAUCCCUAGCUGGUCUGAGAGGAUGACCAGCCACCCUGGACCUGAGCCACGGUCCAGACUCCUACGGGAGGCAGCAGUGGGAAUAUUGCACAAUGGGCGCAAGCCUGAUGCAGCCAUGCCGCGUGUAUGAAGAAGGCCUUCGGGUUGUAAAGUACUUUCAGCGGGGAGGAAGGGAGUAAAGUUAAUACCUUUGCUCAUUGACGUUACCCGCAGAAGAAGCACCGGCUAACUCCGUG
rnacentral:rRNA from 1 species